GAGCUCUUUAGAGGCUAAUGAACAAUGAGUUCUCUUCAAACAAGAAAACGAGCGACAAAAGCCGGUAUAUAUACAUCAAUCAAAAUUGCCAGCAAUCGAGAUUACUGGUCGAAGCCAACUGUGAAGAUCAACGAUGAUCCGGACUAUUCGUCAUACUCCGAAACCGUCAGACUCCAACGAUGAGAUCGGCAACCCCGACAAGAGAGAGGCUGGUAGCUUCGAUCGUGCUAUCGCGAUAACCCGCUACGGGAUGCAGCUGCUGGGCUUUUGGCCGCAGGACACGCGGCUCCUCUGCGAUCUACGGUGCGGCGUGAUCUUCGCGCUGAUCGGCUUCUUCACGUUUCCCACGGCUUUGCGAACGUACACCGUAGUGUACACGGUGACAGAUUGGGACAAGGUGAUGCACCAGGCCCUCGAAACAGUUCCGGCAAUCCCGCUCCUGGCGAGAUUCAUUUUUAUGAAGGUGAUGGCCAGGAACUUCCGGCUCGUUCUCUGUGCGAUGACCGCCGAUUGGACGGAUUAUCGCUACCUGACAAAGCGGGACCGACGGAUCAUGGUCCACUAUGCUAGAAGAGGCAGACGGUUCAGCAUACUUAGCACCAUACUCUUGGCGUUGGUAUUAAUAGGGUUUAUGUUAACGCCGAUUGUGAAUAUGUGGUAUAGCGGUGGUUUCUGGAACGUAACGACUAGGAUUUUACCUCAAGAAGGGCUUUAUCCCUUUCACAACAAGAAAUCGCCCAUCUACGAGAUACUCUACGUUGCGCAAUUGCUCAUGACGUUCCUUUGCGCCACGGCACUGGCCACCGUGGAAUGCUUCCUGUACAUCAUCGUGUUCCACGUGUGCGGACAGUUUGACAUACUCGCCGCUCUCUUAAAACGAUACGACAGUUCUAUCAGGCAUCAUUACGCCAAGAACACACGCAAUUGCGCUUGUCUCGUGUGCAUCGUGAAGCGACAUGUGCAUAUUCUAAACUACGUAGACCUCAUAGAAAAGUCCUUUCGUGACUUUCUUCUUUUACAGUUAUUGGGAUACUGGGCCAGUUUAAUUUUAUACGGACGCGAACUUAUUCUGCACAUUCAACACAGUAACAUCCAAGAGCGAAAACAUUGGAAAGAUAGCGCAUGAUCUGGAAUGGCAACAUUUCCCACGGGACUCUAAUCUGUCGAUUAUAGUGACGCGCACGAGAAUAUCUUGCAAGCUUACUGCAGGAAGGUUCCUUACCUUAUCCUUUCCCUGUUACACCACGAUUCUAACGACGACGAUCUCGUACAUAUCCGUACUCGCGGCAUUUAAAUAAGUAAACCGUUUUUAAUGAUAAAUAAAAAUGUUUAGUAUUUUUUCUAUUUUUUUUUGUAAGUUUUACAUAAGUCACGCUGGCGAUUAUACAGCAUACAGAAAUUCUGCGAAUUUUGUUACAAAGGUAUUUGUAGAAUAAGCAAUAAAUCUGCUAGAAAAAAAAA
rnacentral:misc_RNA from 1 species